CCGAAUUCAUUGCCACCCUCCUCUUCCUUUACGUGACCGUCUUAACAGUCAUCGGCUACAAAAGCCAGACUGACCCGGCCUUAGACCUUGAUCAGUGCGGCGGCGUUGGCAUCCUCGGUAUCGCAUGGGCCUUCGGUGGCAUGAUCUUCAUUCUCGUUUACUGCACCGCCGGAAUCUCUGGUCAGUAUAUAUAGAUAUCUCAUAUAUCAAUCCAUUAUAAGUUAUUGAGCUGAUGAUGAAUGUAAUUAUGCAGGAGGACACAUUAACCCUGCGGUGACAUUCGGUCUGUUCUUGGCAAGGAAGGUGUCGUUGAUUAGGGCAGUGUUGUACAUGAUAGCACAGUGUUUGGGAGCAAUUUGUGGUGUGGGUUUGGUGAAAGCUUUCCAAAGCUCCUACUACAACAGAUACGGCGGUGGUGCCAACGAAUUAGCCGACGGCUACAACAAAGGCACAGGCCUCGGUGCUGAGAUCAUCGGC
rnacentral:lncRNA from 1 species